UACGUAGGGUGCAGGCGUUAAUCGGAAUUACUGGGCGUAAAGCGUGCGCAGGCGGUUUCUUAAGUCAGAUGUGAAAGCCCCGGGCUUACCCUGGGAACUGCGUUUGAAACUGGGAGACUUGAGUGUGGCAGAGGGGGGUGGAAUUCCACGUGUAGCAGUGAAAUGCGUAGAUAUGUGGAGGAACACCGAUGGCGAAGGCAGCCCCCUGGGUUAACACUGACGCUCAUGCACGAAAGCGUGGGGAGCAAACAGG
rnacentral:rRNA from 1 species